GAGACCAUUUCCUCCUGUAUCCUCUUUGUUCAAAAUUUAAAAUUGGUUGAUUAUGGAAUAGUUGUAGUUUCAAGUUUAAAUAGAUCAAGAGAGAUAGAUAACUUCAAUAUAAUAGAACUUAUUAAAAGGAGUAGCUAACGCAAAGUAAGCAGAGAAAAUAAUGAUUUGACAUGAUUAAUAACAAGCAAACUCAAAAACAAAUGUGAUUAAAACAUCUGCUUCAUCUCUUUUUUCACAGCAUCAUCUCUUCAAUAGGUGUACCCUUUGACGAACAUGCCCUCCUUAGCCUCUUCGGACUCACCCUCACCGGUGUAUUUUCCGAGCUGAGCCAACGAAUUGGCCUUGGCACGGGCCAAGAGAGUGGUCUGAGCUGCGUUCACGUUCUCGGGUCUGCCGCCCCAUGUUUUCAGACAAGUGUUCUGCAACGCACGUGCGUAGGAGAAGGACACGUGCCAUGGGUUUGGUGCCUGGUUCAUUGCGUUCAAGUUGAGUGUUGCCUCCACCUCCGACUGUCCUCCGGACAAAAAC
rnacentral:sRNA from 1 species